UUAUAUAAUAUAGUUAUAUUACAGUUCAUUCAAAGACCUAAUUUUUUUCUCAGUGCUGAAGACACGUCAGGAAGUGACAGAAAGCAGUGGUGAGAAAUGUUCAAAUCGUUGCAGUACAAAACCAAGCCACACUUACAGAGAUGAUUUUGAGCACAUUUAUUUCUGCAUUAAAAAACAAAGCAGAGAUUAUUUUAUUUCACCCACUAGUAAUAUUAUAUAUUUUUGUCAAGAGUACUAGGCUUAAAACAAAACUUAAUUUUUUACGGACUUAUCUGCUAAAACGCAACACUUGAUGGCAGUUAUCAUUCAGCGCAUUCACAAAAGAACAGAACUUGAUUUAUGCAUUGCAUUCAUGCACAGUAAAAACAAUGGACGUGAAAAAACACCAUAUAGAUGAAUCUAGUGAUUCUUUAAUAAAAUACUUUUUAAGAAAUACAUGUUUGUCUCCCUAGUAAACAAUAAAAAACUGUUUAUAGCAUGAUAUUGUCAUAAACCGGGUACCUUCCUCUUUUUCUUUUCCACCCCUUUCAUGUAAUUUACACACACUCGCACCCCCCCUUCACACACACACACACACACACACACACACACACACACACUUAAUUACACCUGCUCAUUCAUUCCCAGCUGCUUCUCAUUCUCUCAUCUCAUCAUCCUUUCUUCCUGCUUCCUCUAAUUAGACCCUAUUUCUAGCCACCCUCUUCCACUUGUUCUCCGCCAGAGCCUUACCUGUGCACCCGACGUACCUGAGCUCGCUGUCCUGUAUCGCCUUCCUUGUUGUGUCCUGACGGUUCGUGCUGAACUAUUAUUGUCCCGUUGCUAACCUCUGCUUUACCCAGCCUCCAGUUUGACGUGAGCUGCCUGCUGUCUGGUGCGCUCUCUCUCGGCCUGGACCUCGUUCUCUGCUCACUGGGCUUCACCAUUGCUGGCCAAACGCCCGUAUUCUUCUGUUUGUGUGUUUGUGUUCAUUAAAACACUUUACGUUCCCUUGCGUUUGCGUGGUCGCUUCUUCACAAGCACAACAGAUAUAGUCAAAAGGAAAUAAAUAUAAUUUAAAGAAUGUCAUUUUUCAUUUUACCUAACAUCCAUCAUGAAGGUACUGUCUGUUGCCUGAUUAUGAAACAAUAUAGAAUAAGGUUAAUACUUUAAUCCAGCAGCUUUUGUGCACUGGAUAUCUAAAAACAGCAAAUUCUUUUGUCAACAAUUGUAGUCAACAUUAAUUUAAAUGAAAAUACUGGUAACUCCUAUUAUAUACCGACAUUCAAUUUUUGUCUUGAUGGCACCCAGUGUUAUUGUUUGUUCAUAUAAUCACAUACCCAUUGAUUAGCUCUCGAAGUAGAGAUUGUAACCAGGGCGGUAAGUGAUCUUAGUCCAUAUUCGCUUAGCUUCACUAAAAUGGGAAGCCGUUGUAUCACUUAUUGGCUUUUUAUUACUAAAAUAAUAACUACCAACACUAGUACUUUUAAAGGCAGUAUUGUAUUGUCACAUAUUGGCAAAAUUCUACAAAAUAUCUACAAAAUUAUCCAGUGUUGGCUCCUCAGAGGCACCUAUAAUCCAGUUUACUAGAUUGUAUAGCGCAAGGGGAACAACAGUUUGUGCUUCAGUGACAUUCAAAUUUUCAGAGGUUGGAGGCCAUGGGCAUGACAUGCCAGGAGUGUUACUAAGAUGUCUUUUUAAGAACAACGCUGCUGUAUAUAGUCUCCUUGCGUCCUCUUGUGUUGUUUGGUGCUGGUGGUGUUGUCCCUUUUUCAGUCUCGCUGUCUGUCUGGCUCAACUCAGACUGUGUGGUUUCCGCACCUGAUGGGUAAGGUAGCAUGUCCACGAGUGUACGGGUUGACAGGGUCUCUGUAAAAACCAGCUCGGAGAUGUUGCGCACCAAGGUCAUGUGAAACACCAGCUGGGGGAAAUCACGAGUCAGCCUCUUUUUCAACAUAUCCUGACUGCAACAUAACAAAACAGUGACAAUUAGGAGUCACAGGAGUAUCAUGAGAAAAAUGCAUUGCAGUUACCUGUAGUUUGAAGACCUUCAUUUGCUUUCACCAGUUCAAUGAAGGCCUUCCUCAGCUGGACCAUUCUCAGCACCUCUUGGUUGACAAUCAGCCUUUGGCGAAUGAUCCUCUCACAGAAUAUCUUAUAGCUGACAUCAAAUGUGGGCUCAUUC
ensembl:lncRNA